AGUCACUGACCAUUAGAUACCCCCGGUAGUCCUAGCCGUAAACGAUACUCGCUAGGUGUCGGCCACGGUGCGACCGUUGUCGGUGCCGUAGGGAAGCCGUGAAGCGAGCCACCUGGGAAGUACGGCCGCAAGGCUGGAAACUUAAAGGAAUUGGCGGGGGAGCACCACAACGGGUGGAGCUUGCGGUUUAAUUGGAUUCAACGCCGGAAAUCUUACCGGGACCGACAGCAACAUGAAGGCCAGGCUGAAGUACUUUGCCGGAUUAGCUG
rnacentral:rRNA from 1 species